rnacentral:rRNA from 1 species
AUGUAUACAUGUGUUCUGGAGAUAGGAGAACUUAUCUGGUGGUGUGUGCGUGCUGCUGCAUCCUCUUCGGGCUGCUCUAAUUCACACCUUCAGUACAACUUCUUUCAGCGAGGUGGAGAUUGGGGCACGGUGGAGUGUGACCGUGUGUGUGCAUACGGCCCACCGCAACGUCACCGGCCGGAUCCCGCUCUUCAGUGUACAGCAAGAAGUUCAUGUAUUGAUGCCCCUGGAGUCCAUGUAGCUCUGCUGCCGUGCUACCCUUAUCGGCCUCGGCUAUGUCGAAGGAGCUCCCUUCUGUUCAGUGGAUUCAACAAAAAAAAGUCCCUGCUGCCACUGCAUCCUGAGUUCAAGGGAUUCCUUAGGGGCCUUCUACACCAUCUUGCUAAUGAUGCCAUCGCUGGAUGCCACAGCCAUGCUCGUGUUCUUGUACUGCCAUUCACAUACUGCUCCCUGUUUUACUUCAUUGAGAUCCAUAGAAAUAAGUUAUAUUCAGUUCGCCACUUUUACAAUUGA